CCGUUUGAGCUUUAGGGUUUUGUAUUAUUCGGGUUCGUAAAUUUUUAGCUUUCAGGCCUUGUAAAUGGACUUUGGACUUUAAUGGAUUUAUUAUCUUUUUUUUUGUUUUUUUUUGUUUGUAGUGGGCUGGGCAGAAUUGGCCUGUUACAGCUACCCCUUUUUGUUCAUUGUCGUGUAACGGGAAUGGAGCAAAUACUUUAAAAAGGAUCAAUUUUGUCUGGUCUUGCCGAAUCUUGACUUCUUUGAUGCUUCUCUUCUUCAAGCAGCCUCAUUCUAACCCACUACAACUUUAGGGGUAUAGGAAAUGUAAUUUCAACCUACUCCACUGCAACUUUAGGGAGAUAAG
rnacentral:lncRNA from 1 species